rnacentral:ncRNA from 2 species
GGGAAGCCGGUCGAAAUCCGGCACUGUCGCGCAACCGUGGGUCACCGGAAGGUGACGAGUCGGGUCACC